GUGAGUCAUCGAAUCUUUGAACGCACCUUGCGCUCCUUGGUAUUCCGAGGAGCAUGCCUGUUUGAGUGUCAUGAAAUCUUCAACCUGCAAGCUUAUGUGGUUUGUAGGCUUGGACUUGGAGGCUUUGUCGGCCAUGCCCGGUCGGCUCCUCUCAAAUGCAUUAGCUUGGUUCCUUGCGGAUCGGCUCUCGGUGUGAUAAUGUCUACGCCGUGACCGUGAAGCAGCGUUUGGCGAGCUUCUAAUCGUCUCGGUUAGAGACAGCUUUAUGACCUCUGACCUCAAAUCAGGUAGGACUACCCGCUGAACUUAAGCAUAUCAAUAAGCGGAGGA
rnacentral:misc_RNA from 1 species